rnacentral:rRNA from 1 species
CGAUAAUUUACCCUUUAGGCGUAGGAUAACUUCGAGAAAUUGAAGCUAAACCUAGAUAGGAAAAAGGUACUGGAAUGUCUUUUUUCCAAAAGGUAACACCUAAGGAUAAGUCGGCGGCUGAUUAGGUUGUUGGUGAGGUAAUGGCUCACCAAGCCUUGGAUCAGUAGGGGGGAUGAAAGUCCUAGCCCCGAGAAGGGCACUGAGAUACUGGCCCUAGCCCUAAGGGGUGCAGCAGGCGCGAAACCUUUACAAUGUACGAAAGUGUGAUAAGGGGAUCCCAAGUGCUUUGUCUUCGGAUAAAGCUUUUGUCAAGUCUAAAUCGCUUGAUGAAUAAGUGGUGGGUAAGACGGGUGCCAGCCGCCGCGGUAACACCUGCGCCACAAGUGGCAAUCACAAUUAUUGGGUCUAAAGCGUUCGUAGCCGGUUUGAUAACUCUCUUGUGAAAUUGUUGGGCUCAACCUAACAACGUGCAAGAGAAACUAUUAAACUAGAGACCGGGAGGAGUUAGAAGUAUUCUAGGGGGAGCGGUAAAAUGUUAUAAUCCCUGGAGGACUACCAGUGGCGAAGGCGUCUAACUAGAACGGGUCUGACGGUGAGGAACGAAGGCUAGGGGAGCAAAACGGAUUAGAUACCCGAGUAAUCCUAGCAGUAAACUCUGUGAGCUAUGUGUUGCGUGAUCUUUGUGGUUGUGCAGUGCCUAAGCGAAGGUGUUAAGCUCACCACCUGGGAAGUACAGUCGCAAGACCGAAACUUAAAGGAAUUGGCGGGGGCUCACUACAAGGGGUGAAGAGUGCGGUUC